GACGAACGCUGGCGGCGUGCCUAAUACAUGCAAGUCGAACGCACGAAGUUGAAGAGCUUGCUCUUUAACCAAGUGAGUGGCGGACGGGUGAGUAACACGUGGGUAACCUGCCCAUUAGAGGGGGAUAACAUUCGGAAACGGAUGCUAAUACCGCAUAGUUUCAGGGAUCGCAUGAUUCUUGAAGGAAAGGUGGCUCCGGCUACCACUAAUGGAUGGACCCGCGGCGUAUUAGCUAGUUGGUGAGGUAAUGGCUCACCAAGGCAAUGAUACGUAGCCGACCUGAGAGGGUGAUCGGCCACACUGGGACUGAGACACGGCCCAGACUCCUACGGGAGGCAGCAGUAGGGAAUCUUCCGCAAUGGACGAAAGUCUGACGGAGCAACGCCGCGUGAGUGAAGAAGGUUUUCGGAUCGUAAAACUCUGUUGUUAAAGAAGAACAAGGAUGAGAGUAACUGCUCAUCCCCUGACGGUAUUUAACCAGAAAGCCACGGCUAACUACGUGCCAGCAGCCGCGGUAAUACGUAGGUGGCAAGCGUUGUCCGGAUUUAUUGGGCGUAAAGCGAGCGCAGGCGGUUCUUUAAGUCUGAUGUGAAAGCCCCCGGCUCAACCGGGGAGGGUCAUUGGAAACUGGAGAACUUGAGUGCAGAAGAGGAGAGUGGAAUUCCACGUGUAGCGGUGAAAUGCGUAGAUAUGUGGAGGAACACCAGUGGCGAAGGCGACUCUCUGGUCUGUAACUGACGCUGAGGCUCGAAAGCGUGGGGAGCAAACAGG
rnacentral:rRNA from 1 species